rnacentral:rRNA from 1 species
GACGAACGCUGGCGGCGUGCCUAGUACAUGCAAGUUGAGCGCUGAAGGUUGGUACUUGUACCAACUGGAUGAGCAGCGAACGGGUGAGUAACGCGUGGGGAAUCUGCCUUUGAGCGGGGGACAACAUUUGGAAACGAAUGCUAAUACCGCAUAAAAACUUUAAACACAAGUUUUAAGUUUGAAAGAUGCAAUUGCAUCACUCAAAGAUGAUCCCGCGUUGUAUUAGCUAGUUGGUGAGGUAAAGGCUCACCAAGGCGAUGAUACAUAGCCGACCUGAGAGGGUGAUCGGCCACAUUGGGACUGAGACACGGCCCAAACUCCUACGGGAGGCAGCAGUAGGGAAUCUUCGGCAAUGGACGAAAGUCUGACCGAGCAACGCCGCGGGAGUGAAGAAGGUUUUCGGAUCGUAAAACUCUGUUGGUAGAGAAGAACGUUGGUGAGAGUGGAAAGCUCAUCAAGUGACGGUAACUACCCAGAAAGGGACGGCUAACUACGUG